rnacentral:rRNA from 1 species
UAAUACCGAGGGUGCAAGCGUUAUCCGGAUUCACUGGGUUUAAAGGGUGCGUANGCGGGCGGGUAAGUCCGUGGUGAAAUCUCCGAGCUUAACUCGGAAACUGCCAUGGAUACUAUUUGUCUUGAAUACUGUGGAGGUGAGCGGAAUAUGUCNUGUAGCGGUGAAAUGCUUAGAGAUGACAUAGAACACCAAUUGCGAAGGCAGCUCACUGCGCANUUAUUGACGCUGAGGCACGAAAGCGUGGGGAUCUAACAGGAUUAGAUACCCAGGUAGUCCACGCCCUAAACGAUGGAUACUCGACAUACGUUAUAUGACAAUGUGUGUCUGAACCAAAAGCAUUAAGUUUCCCCCCUGGGGAAAUACGAACGCCAAGGUUGAAACUCCAAAGAAUUGGGGGGGGGUCCGCACCAACCGUGGAACAUGUUGUUUAAUUCCGAUGAUACCCCAAGGAAACCUACCUGGGGCUAGAAUGCACUCCUGACCGUGGGGUUUAAAACUCAUUUUGUUACCAUA